rnacentral:lncRNA from 1 species
CUGGGAACUCAGCGCUCAGCAGUGGACGGUUCUCCAGCCUCAGGUCCAAUGGCCAACUCAUGCCCAGGGCAGGCCCAGUGUGGGGCUUGGGCGCCGAGGGAGGGACCGCACACCUUGAGUUCCUGCCGAGUCCAGAGAAUGGAGGAAGUGGCCAGUGAGGGCCCAACUUGCUGGUGGGCCUCUCUGAGCCCAGCAUCCUCUUCUGAAAUGGGGGCGUGAUGUUCCUGCCUCCCAGGGAGAUCUGCAGACCAGCCCUGCGAGGUGUGGAGUCAGCCCCUGCGCGUGCCCGGUCCCCACUCACAUUGCCACCUGCCUCCGGUGUGGCUGCGAAGUCGGAGGGAGGAGAGAGCCAGCCAGGGGUGUGGGCGCCAAGAUCAGAGACUCGCACGCUGCUGGACGGAAUGUGGACCGGCCCAGCUGCUGGGUCACCUGCCGGCAGCUCCCGAAACAACCAGUCACCACGAGACCCAGCAACUCCACCCCUAGGUGUGCGCCCAAGAUAAACGGAAGCUCCUGUCCGCACAAACACCCGUGCGGCUUCCUUCACUAAGGGUGGAAACGGCCCGGGUGCCCAUGGGUGGGUGACGGAUGAACCGGGUAGACCGUCUGUACAAUGGAAUAUUUAUCCUUCCGCCACAAAAACAGAAGAAAUUCGGACGCAGGCUUCAGUACGGACGGGGUUUAAAGUUGUGAUGUGUACGCCACAGUCCGUGUGUGAUUCCAUUCCCGAGAAGCCCAGCGCUGGCCAGCCCCUGGGAACAGAAGGUGGCUGAGUGGGUCUUUAUGGCUGGGGGGCUGGGGCUGGGCUGAUGACGUUUAUUUUUGAUGAAAAUGUUCUGGGCCAGGCUUUGUGGUGGCUCACAACUGUGAUCCCAGCACUUUGGGAGGCCGAGGCGGGCGGAUCACCUGAGGUCAGAAGUUCAAGAUCAGCCUGGCCAACAUGGUGAAACCCCAUCUCCACUAGAAAUACAAAAAUUAGCUGGGCGUGGUGGUAGCACGUGCCUGUAAUCCCGGCUACUCGGGAGGCUGAGGCAGGAGAAUUGCUUGAACCCGGGAGGCAGAGAUUGCACUGAACCGAGAUCGCGCCACUGCACUCCAGCCUGGGCGACAGAACGAGACUCCGUCCGAAAAAGAAAAAAGAAAAUGUCCUGAAUGGACGGUGGUGACGGCCGCACGUAGCUGAACGUGCUGGAGAUGGUGGAAUCGCCACUGUCGGUGGAGAAAUUCAUGGAGCGUGAAUUACGGCCGACCCCGGAAAAACGCGGGUUUGAACUUUGGGCUCACCUGCACGUGGAUUUUCUCCUUUCUCUGCUGCUCCUGGGUCAGCAAGACCAGCCCCUCCUCUUCCUUCUCCUCCCCAGCCUCCUCAGCAUGAAAAAGACCAGGAUGAAGACCUUUAGGGUGAUCCGCUUCCACGUGGAGACGAGGAAAUGCAUCCUCUCUUCCUUAGGAUUUUCCGAAUGGCAUUUUCUUUUCUCUGGCUUACUGUAUUGUAAGAACACACUAUAUCACACAUUCACGAUACAAAAACGUGCAUCGACUGUUUAUGUUAUUGGUAAAGCUUCUGGUCAAUAGUAGCCUAUGAGUAGUUAAGUUUCGGGGCAAUCAAGAGUUAUACUUGGGUCUGGCGCAGUGGUUCACAACUGUAAUCCCAUCACUUGGGGAGGCCGAGGCGGGCGGAUCUCGAGGUCAGGAGAUCGAGACCAUCCUGGCUAACACGGUGAAACCCCAUCUCUACUAAAAAUACAAAAAAUUAGCCGGGCAUGGUGGCGGGCGCCUGUAGUCCCAGCAACUCAGGAGACUGAGGCAGGAGAAUGGUGUGAACCCAGGAGGCGGAGCUUGCAGUGAGCCAAGAUCCCACCACUGCACUCCAGCCUGGGCGACAGAGCGAGACUCCAUCUCAAAAAAUAAAUAAAUAAAUAAAUAUAGAAACCCCAGCACUUUGGGAGGCCAAGGCAGGCGGAUCACCUGAAGUCAGGAGUUCGAGACCAGCCUGGCCACAUGGUGAAACCCCAUCUCUACUAAAAAUACAAAAAUUAGCCAGGCAUGGUGGCGUGCACCUGUAAUCCCAGCUACUUGGGAGGCUGAGGCAGGAGAAUCACUUGAAACCAGGAGGUGGAGCUUGCAGUGAGCCGAGAUUGCACCACUGCACUCCAGCCUGGGCAACAGAGCAAGACUGUCUAAAAAUAUAUGUAUAUAUUUUUUUUGAGGUCAAGAGUUUGAGACCUUAUAAUAUAUAUAAAUAGAAGGAUUUUCAACUUUGU